UCCAACUUUUGAUGCAAGAUGAUGAAACCUAAAGGGGGAAGGGACAACAAGAAUCUCCACAAUUGACUUACAAAAAACAUGCAAACGAAGCAAAAUCAACAAGAAUCGAGUCUAGGUUUCUUUCGAAUGGAUAUCGAGCCUUUUAGAUGAUCCCUAAAGAUUUUGAUCUCGGAACAAUCUCUUAGAUCUUCAAGACUAAUAUAUUGUUGUCUUACCAUUCUAGAGAAAUCACCCGCGGUGUCAUGUACCCAAAUAUAAGGAUGACAUGUUUCGUCAUAGUAAUAUAAGAAGCUCCUCGCUCCACCAGCACUAGCACCAACUUUGUCGUCGCCACCACCACCAGGGACAUAAGACUUGUAAAUCUUCUUGCUUUUCAAUCGCUUUGACGAACCAGGUUUAAGUGUGUGAACUUUCUUUAAUAUCGAACCCACUCUUAUUUGCAACUCUAUGGACCUAUCACUAAGGUUCCAAAUCCUUGUACCGAUGCCUGAAACUUGUGUAUGAUCACGACAUCCAUUGAAACACCUUGUGAUAGCCAAAAGGGUUAUGGGGGGAUUUUUGAAAUAUGUUUAGGGAUUUUGGCAUGGUAAGUGGUAGGGUACAAGAACCAUUAAAGGGUAGAGAAGAUUGAAAUUUGGCACUAAAAUAGUGGGAAAAGUGGUGUCAUUUGAAACUUUUUUAAAGCUUCAUGAUGAAGUGUUGUAU
rnacentral:lncRNA from 1 species